rnacentral:rRNA from 1 species
AACGAACGCUGGCGGCAUGCCUAACACAUGCAAGUCGAACGGCAACGCCGGUUUUGGGGUCCUCGGGUGGCGUACGGGCGAGUAACACGUGCGUAACCUCCCCUUGACUCCUGGAUAACUGCACGAAAAUCGGGCUAUUACUGCCGAGGAAUCCUUGCUGCAGGGUGGGGGGGCGCAAGUUGCGUCGGUUUUGGGGGGGGUCGCGGCGCAUCCGCGUGUUAGUGGGGUAGCGGCUCACAGAGGCUGUGCCGCGAAGCCGGACUGGGAGGGCGACCGGCCACAUUGACACUGAGACAAGGCCCCGACUCCGACUGGAGGCAGCAGUGGGAAAUAUUGAUCAAGGAGCGGAAGCCUGAUGCAGCAACGCCGCGUGCGGGAUAACGGUCUUGGCGUUAUAAAUCGCAUUCACCAUGGGCCAAGCUUGUGGUGACGGUACCUGCAGAAGAAGCACCGGCUAACUACGUG